rfam:Leucosporidium creatinivorum strain 62-1032 BCR35scaffold_57, whole genome shotgun sequence.
GACGCAGUGGUUUAGUGGCAAAAUUGGGCAUUGCCAUUUAGAUGACAUCUUGCCUAGCCCCGGGUUCAAUUCCCGGCUGCGUCA